CAAUAGCGUAUAUUAAAGUUGUUGCGGUUCAAAAGCUCGUAGUUGGAUUUCUGCUGAGGACGACCGGUCCGCCCUCUGGGUGAGUAUCUGGCUUGGCCUUGGCAUCUUCUUGGAGAACGUAGCUGCACUUGAUUGUGUGGUGCGGUAUCCAGGACUUUUACUUUGAGGAAGUUAGAGUGUUUCAAGCGGGCACACGCCUUGAAUACAUUAGCAUGGAAUAAUAAGAUAGGACCUUGGUUCUGUUUUGUCGGAUUCUAGAGCUGAGGUAAUGAUGAAUAUGGAUAGUUGGGGGCAUUCGUAUUUAACUGUCAGAGGUGGAAUUCUUGGAUUUGUUAAAGACGGACUACUGCGAAAGCAUUUGCCAAGGAUGUUUUCAUUGAUCAAGAACGAAAGUUAGGGAUCGAAGAUGAUUAGAUACCAU
rnacentral:rRNA from 1 species